UCAAAAUUCCACCAAAAUUCAUAGGGAAAGAAUUUUAAUGCCAAAUUUUGCAGCAAUCAACUUUCAUAUACCUAUUUUGAUUUCCAAUUGGAAUCAUGGCAAAAUCUAUUUUACAACUCAAGAUACAAGCAAAAAUAUACAAGCUGUCCAGAAUUCUGUCUCAGUGCGAUUAGUAAUAGAAAUGUAGGAAUUUCAAUAGAAAAAUAGCAUAAUCUAUUUCUGGUCAUAACUACAAAAUUUUUAAAGCUCUCUUUAAGCUUUCCAAUGCCGCAAGAAUCACUCUAUUUUGAGUUUUCUAAUUCAAGUUAUGAAUUUUUAAAAUCG
rnacentral:misc_RNA from 1 species